rnacentral:rRNA from 1 species
GAGUUUGAUCCUGGCUCAGGAUGAACGCUAGCGGCAGGCUUAACACAUGCAAGUCGAGGGGUAACGGGGAAGCUUGCUUCCGCCGACGACCGGCGCACGGGUGCGUAACGCGUAUACAAUCUACCUUGUACUGGGGUAUAGCCUUUAGAAAUGAAGAUUAAUCCCCCAUAGUCUCUUAGAGUGGCAUCACUUCUAGAGUAAAGGUUACGGUAUAAGAUGAGUAUGCGUCCUAUUAGUUUGUUGGUGUGGUAACGGCACACCAAGACUACGAUAGAUAGGGGCCCUGAGAGGGGGAUCCCCCACACUGGUACUGAGACACGGACCAGACUCCUACGGGAGGCAGCAGUGAGGAAUAUUGGACAAUGGAGGCAACUCUGAUCCAGCCAUGCCGCGUGCAGGAAGACUGCCCUAUGGGUUGUAAACUGCUUUUAUACAGGAAGAAACACCUCUACGUGUAGAGGCUUGACGGUACUGUAAGAAUAAGGAUCGGCUAACUCCGUGCCAGCAGCCGCGGUAAUACGGAGGAUCCAAGCGUUAUCCGGAAUCAUUGGGUUUAAAGGGUCCGUAGGUGGAUAAUUAAGUCAGAGGUGAAAUCUUGCAGCUCAACUGUAAAAUUGCCUUUGAAACUGGUUAUCUUGAGUUAUUAUGAAGUAGUUAGAAUAUGUAGUGUAGCGGUGAAAUGCAUAGAUAUUACAUAGAAUACCAAUUGCGAAGGCAGAUUACUAAUAAUCAACUGACACUGAUGGACGAAAGCGUGGGUAGCGAACAGGAUUAGAUACCCUGGUAGUCCACGCCGUAAACGAUGGUUACUAGCUGUUUGGACUUCGGUCUGAGUGGCUAAGCGAAAGUGAUAAGUAACCCACCUGGGGAGUACGUUCGCAAGAAUGAAACUCAAAGGAAUUGACGGGGGCCCGCACAAGCGGUGGAGCAUGUGGUUUAAUUCGAUGAUACGCGAGGAACCUUACCAGGGCUUAAAUGUAAGUUGCAUUAGUUAGAGAUAGCUAUUUCUUCGGACCACUUACAAGGUGCUGCAUGGUUGUCGUCAGCUCGUGCCGUGAGGUGUCAGGUUAAGUCCUAUAACGAGCGCAACCCCUGUUGUUAGUUGCCAGCGAGUCAUGUCGGGAACUCUAACAAGACUGCCAGUGCAAACUGUGAGGAAGGUGGGGAUGACGUCAAAUCGUCACGGCCCUUACGUCCUGGGCUACACACGUGCUACAAUGGUAGGUACAGAGAGCAGCCACUGCGCGAGCAGGAGCGAAUCUAUAAAACCUAUCACAGUUCGGAUCGGAGUCUGCAACUCGACUCCGUGAAGCUGGAAUCGCUAGUAAUCGGAUAUCAGCCAUGAUCCGGUGAAUACGUUCCCGGGCCUUGUACACACCGCCCGUCAAGCCAUGGAAGUUGGAAGUGCCUGAAGUCCGUCACCGCAAGGAGCGGCCUAGGGUAAAGUCGAUAACUAGGGCUAAGUCGUAACAAGGUAACC